CCUACGGGUGGCAGCAGUCGAGAAUCAUUCACAAUGGGGGAAACCCUGAUGGUGCGACGCCGCGUGGGGGAAUGAAGGUCUUCGGAUUGUAAACCCCUGUCAUGUGGGAGCAAAUGAAAAAGAUAGUACCACAAGAGGAAGAGACGGCUAACUCUGUUCCAGCCGCCGCGGUAAUACAGAGGUCUCAAGCGUUGUUCGGAAUCACUGGGCGUAAAGCGUGCGUAGGCUGUUUCGUAAGUCCUGUGGUAAAGGAGCGGGGUCAACCCUCGGACGGCACAAGAUACUGAGGGAGUAGAGUAAUGGAGGGGGAAGUGGAAUUCGCGGUGUAGCAGUGAAAUGCGUAGAUAUCGGGAAGAACACUCGUGGCGAAGGCGGGUUCCUGGACAUUAACUGACGCUGAGGCACGAAGGCCAGGGGAGCGAAAGGGAUUAGAUACCCGGGUAGUC
rnacentral:rRNA from 1 species